AACGAACGCUGGCGGCAGGCUUAACACAUGCAAGUCGAGCGGGCCCUUCGGGGUCAGCGGCGGACGGGUUAGUAACGCGUGGGAACGUGCCUUCUGCUUGGGAAUAGCCCUGGGAAACCGGGGGUAAUGCCCGAUGUGCCCUACGGGGGAAAGAUUUAUCGGCAGGAGAUCGGCCCGCGUCCGAUUAGGUAGUUGGUGGGGUAAAGGCCCACCAAGCCGACGAUCGGUAGCUGGUUUGAGAGGAUGAUCAGCAACACUGGGACUGAGACACGGCCCAGACUCCUACGGGAGGCAGCAGUGGGGAAUCUUAGACAAUGGGGGCAACCCUGAUCUAGCCAUGCCGCGUGGGUGAUGAAGGCCUUAGGGUCGUAAAGCCCUUUCGCUGGGGAAGAUAAUGACGGUACCCAGUAAAGAAACCCCGGCUAACUCCGUGCCAGCCGCCGCAGUAAGA
rnacentral:rRNA from 1 species